CACACAAGGUGUGUGCUAUGAUCGAACAGGAGAAAGGAAAAAGGGGGUGUGAACCCUAAACCUCAAGAAAUCAUCAAAUUGAAAAGGGAAUCAAGGGCUGAUUGUAUGCAUGAACCAAGGAUGAUGAUCCCUUAAGCAUUUCUAACAUCAACGUAGGAGCCAUGUCAACAUGGACACGAGCAUGGAAGGGCAAUGGGUCAACGGUAAAUACGGAAGCUAUGCAUGAACUCGGACGCACGAGGUAGCGUUAGUUAAUUGAGCAUGGUGAUGAUUGAAGUUUGAUAUGGUUUUGGUUGUAUGAAAUCGGUUAUUUUAGCUAAGUAGACCGAACGGGACAAUAUAAAGUUGUAAUGAUAUGACAGAUUGAUGUAAUGCUACGGUAUUGUAACCGGGUAAUGGGUAGAAUUGCACAUAAGUGCGCCAACCGAGAAUGGGGACUUAGGUUAAUGGUCAAAAGACUUAGCUUUUGACCUUAAAUAAAAGAAUGGUUUAACAAAAUACGAACAGGUCGAAUAAAUGUGCAUAAACUUCAUAAUGCUAAUGAAAUGCGUAAAGAUUAAGGACCCGGGUAAGGGCGUUUAGCCCAUAAUGUAAGGACAAGUCUUACGGACAACUAGAAAUAAUUGUGAGCAAUUUGAUUGAGGAAUGUCCGAGAUACGCAAGUUUUAAUAAUAAAAAUAUGAAUGGGUUGAAUAGUCGAAACGAGUAUGUAGAGCCGAAGGCUUUAAGUUAAGAUUUUUCCUUGUUUGGAUGUUAUAUUACAAGCUCAUAUGUUAGAAAAUCGAUUUACCAACGCAUAGGAAAAAGAAUCAUGUUAAUCGGAUUCGUAGAUCAAAAGUUAUGCAAAUUGUAAGUCGAAAAUACCCUUGGAAUUCAUAGCUGGGAAUUUACAGCAGCAAAUUUGAAGUUUCUGUCGAAAUAGAGCUGUCGCGCCCCGCGAGCGCCAGUCAGCUGGCAAAUUUUGGUUUUCUUGUUUGAUUUUGCAUCCGGACUCGAUGUUUUAAUGAUUUUCGAUGUCCCUUAACUUAUAUUAAAGCCGGUUUGAAACACGAGUGAUGUUAUGAGCCUCCGGAUAAUGAAAGUAUGUAUUUUUCUUCGUGUUAGAGAAGAAAGAUUAUAAGUAAUCGAGACUAGAAAUGAGUGGGCAUGCAGUAUGGUAAGUAUAAAACUUAUAUCACGGAAGUUGCGAUUAUGAUAAGAAAUGCGAGAUUAAGUGAAUAAAAGUAGUAAGCGAGGGCUCGCGUCUAUGUGUGUGUAUGUGAAUGUGUGCGUAUGUAUGUAGGUGUAUAUGUUGUAUGUAUGUAGGAAUUAGGAACGUAUACGUUUGUGGAUGCGAGAUGUUAUAAGUAUAUGAAGGAAUGGUUUGGACUGGUUUCAUUAUGUUCUAGCAUUAAUGUUUGCUAAUCGUGUGUUUGAGAUUGGAAUGAAAUGCAGGUACAUGAACACCGGGUUCAUGAAGUAUCGAAGUCGAAUUCGGAACAAGAAAAUACGAAAGGAUAGUUGAAUGAAUUAAAGUUCCUACUGUUAAAUGUUAUUCAAUAUUGGACUAUAUGAGAAUCAUGUCGUAUGAUAUUGUUAAUGACUAAUGGUUAUGAUGUAUGCGAUGUCCACAGGUAUUGCACGGAUUACCGCUACUACUACCGAAGAUAAGCAAGCGUUGAUCGAGUCACGGAGCAAGGGUUGUACGGAAAUAUGUAUUGUCUUGAAGUGUUAAUUUAAUGUGGUUAUUGUAAAUCCCUUUUGUAAAUGUUUAUCAUUUGUAUUUGAGCCUUCAAGUAAGUAAUGUGUCUAAAUAAGAAAGAAAUUUUUGGGCUCGUAUUUUUCCGCUGUGUCAUAUUUAAGUUCUUACAAGUUGGUCUUACAGGGAAUCGUUCAUUAUACGAACGGGUCAUGCCCGAAUUUUGUAAAUAAUAAUACUUAUUUUGGAGUAAGAAAUAUGGGCGUUACAAGUUGGUAUCAGAGCCCUGGUUUGAGGGAAAUCAAGUAGAUGGAGGUAAAUACUUGAACUCAAACCCGUGUGCUCUUGUGUCAAGGAACCCGUACAAUCCAAGACUCGAUCAAGGCCUAAGGUUAAAAGCGAAUGUAAGUAUGUAUUAAAUUAUGUAUUUAAAGGAAACUAAUAGUAUGUUAUGUGAAGGGUAAGCGGAAUUGCUUGGAAGGGAUGAUAUGUGAAUGUGGUUUAGGACCGAUACCAAGGCAUGUAAUAAGACAUAUUGACCUAGGUACGUAAAUUUAGCUUAUGGGUGCAUGUAAUGGUAAAAUCUAUCAAGUGAAUGAAAAUU
rnacentral:lncRNA from 1 species